UUCAUAGGUUGGUGUUACAAUGGACCUCGGUGACAAAGGACCUCAACUUGUGAGGAAGGAUGACAUGAGUCACAACCUGACUGAGGUCCCAAGAGAUUCUCAGAAUAAGCCAACUAACGGGGAGGGGACAUUUGAGGAGUGUGCGCGUUGUAAUAACUGCUUAAAAGUCCGUGGGGGUGAAGUGGUCAAGUCGAUACAGAGGAGCUAACUGCGAGAAGAGAAGAAGUAAAAGAAGCCCAACUCCGGGUAGGAGGAGAAGACAGGAGGAAGCGGCCACACAAAGCAAUGGACCAC